GAUGAACGCUGGCGGCGUGCCUAAUACAUGCAAGUCGAGCGAACAGAUGAGGAGCUUGCUCCUCUGACGUUAGCGGCGGACGGGUGAGUAACACGUGGAUAACCUACCUAUAAGACUGGGAUAACUUCGGGAAACCGGAGCUAAUACCGGAUCAUAUAUUGAACCGCAUGGUUCAAUAGUGAAAGACGGUUUUGCUGUCCCUUAUAGAUGGAUCCGCGCCGCAUUAGCUAGUUGGUAAGGUAACGGCUUACCAAGGCAACGAUGCGUAGCCGACCUGAGAGGGUGAUCGGCCACACUGGAACUGAGACACGGUCCAGACUCCUAAGGGAGGCAGCAGUAGGGAAUAUUCCGCAAUGGGCGAAAGACUGACGGAGCAACGCCGCGUGAGUGAUGAAGGUCUUCGGAUCGUAAAACUCUGUUAUUAGGGAAGAACAAAUGUGUAAGUAAAUAUGCACGUCUUGACGGUACCUAAUCAGAAAGCCACGGCUAACUACGUG
rnacentral:rRNA from 1 species